AGUGAACGCUGGCGGCGUGCUUAACACAUGCAAGUCGAACGAGAACGGGAUAUAGCUUGCUAUAUUUGUCAGCUAAGUGGCGCACGGGUGAGUAAUGUAUAGAUAUCCUGCCCUCUAGAAAGGAAUAACAGUUGGAAACGACUGCUAAUGCCCUAUAUGCCUUUAAUACAUAAGUAUGCAAGGGAAACGCUUUAGUGCUAGAGGAUGGGUCUGUAUGGUAUCAGUUAGUUGGUGAGGUAAUGGCUCACCAAGACAAUGACGCCUAACUGGUUUGAGAGGAUGAUCAGUCACACUGGAACUGAGACACGGUCCAGACUCCUACGGGAGGCAGCAGUGGGGAAUAUUGCACAAUGGACGAAAGUCUGAUGCAGCAACGCCGCGUGGAGGAUGACACAUUUCGGUGCGUAAACUCCUUUUAUAUAGGAAGAUAAUGACGGUACUAUAUGAAUAAGCA
rnacentral:rRNA from 1 species